rnacentral:rRNA from 1 species
ACGAACGCUGGCGGCGUGCUUAACACAUGCCAGUCGAACGGAAAGGCCCUGCUUUUGUGGGGUGCUCGAGUGGCGAACGGGUGAGUAACACGUGAGUAACCUGCCCUUGACUUUGGGAUAACUUCAGGAAACUGGGGCUAAUACCGGAUAGGAGCUCCUGCUGCAUGGUGGGGGUUGGAAAGUUUCGGCGGUUGGGGAUGGACUCGCGGCUUAUCAGCUUGUUGGUGGGGUAGUGGCUUACCAAGGCUUUGACGGGUAGCCGGCCUGAGAGGGUGACCGGCCACAUUGGGACUGAGAUACGGCCCAGACUCCUACGGGAGGCAGCAGUGGGGAAUAUUGCACAAUGGGCGGAAGCCUGAUGCAGCAACGCCGCGUGCGGGAUAACGGCCUUCGGGUUGUAAACCGCUUUCGCCUGUGACGAAGCGUGAGUGACGGUAAUGGGUAAAGAAGCACCGGCUAACUACGUG